GCCAGGUCCCCAUGAAAGUUUCCUCUGGGACAAAGUGCUUCUGAUACAAAAUGCUCUCCUUGGUGGACCCACCUACCUCUCUGCAGCUGCCCUUUCAACUUUAGCAAACACAUCCUCAUAAGCAUUUCUCAGAAGGCUGCAUCACAGCUCUUUUAGGCAAGAAAGGGGCCCAGAGCUUUGGUACCAGCCAGAGGAAGAAGAGGAGGAGGAGAAGGAGUCACAGAAGGAGCUGGAUUUGCCAGUCUUGGAGAAUGAGCCCUCACCAGGUGCCUUUUCUCCAAAGCGAAGAGUCCCAGCCUUUCUUAUCUCCUCCUGUAAGGCUGCAGAUCCAUCUGCCUGUGCCUCCCCAGCUCCACCGGGUCCUCUGCUGAUUUGGAUACAUGAGAGCUUUCAGUCACUCUCGAGAUGGAAUCGUGCUGCUUUUUUAAGUCCUGCAGAGCCAUUCAACUCAUAUGGCAAAGUUACACUGUGUGAAUUACAGCUGUGACACAGACCUAGUUAACACAGUUUGGAGACAAAGAAUUAUCUCUAGUUCAUUAAAAC
ensembl:lncRNA